rnacentral:rRNA from 1 species
GUGCCAGCAGCCGCGGUAAUACAGAGGUCUCGAGCGUUAGGCGGAAUCACUGGGCUUAAAGCGUGUGUAGGCGGAUCGUUAAGUGCCUUGUGAAAUCCCACGGCUCAACCGUGGAACUGCUUGGCAUACUGGCGGUCUUGAGCAACCUAGGGGCGAGCGGAACAAAUGGUGGAGCGGUGAAAUGCGUAGAUAUCAUUUGGAACGCCAAUGGUGAAAACAGCUCGCUGGGGGUUUGCUGACGCUGAGACACGAAAGCCAGGGGAGCAAACGGGAUUAGAUACCCUUGUAGUCC